rnacentral:rRNA from 1 species
AACGAACGCUGGCGGCAGGCCUAACACAUGCAAGUCGAACGCUGUAGCAAUACAGAGUGGCAGACGGGUGAGUAACGCGUGGGAAUCUUCCUAUCGGUACGGAAUAGCUCAGGGAAACUUGGGGUAAUACCGGAUACGCCCUUCGGGGGAAAGAUUUAUCGCCGAUAGAUGAGCCCGCGUCUGAUUAGCUAGUUGGUGAGGUAAUGGCCCACCAAGGCGACGAUCAGUAGCUGGUCUGAGAGGAUGACCAGCCACACUGGGACUGAGACACGGCCCAGACUCCUACGGGAGGCAGCAGUGGGGAAUAUUGGACAAUGGGGGCAACCCUGAUCCAGCCAUGCCGCGUGAGUGACGAAGGUCUUCGGAUUGUAAAGCCCUUUUGGCGGGGACGAUAAUGACGGUACCCGCAGAAUAAGCCCCGGCUAACUUCGUGCCAGCAGCCGCGGUAAUAC